UACGUAGGGGGCUAGCGUUGUCCGGAAUCAUUGGGCGUAAAGAGCGUGUAGGCGGCCCGGUAAGUCCGCUGUGAAAGUCGGGGGCUCAACCCUCGAAUGCCGGUGGAUACUGUCGGGCUAGAGUGCGGAAGAGGCGAGUGGAAUUCCUGGUGUAGCGGUGAAAUGCGUAGAUAUCCGGAGGAACACCGGUGGCGAAGGCGGCUUCCUGGACCGAUACUGACGCUGAGGCGCGAAAGCUAGGGGAGCAAACGGG
rnacentral:rRNA from 1 species